rnacentral:rRNA from 1 species
UACGGAGGAUGCGAGCGUUAUCCGGAAUCAUUGGGUUUAAAGGGUUCGUAGGCGGGCUAUUAAGUCAGGGGUGAAAGUUUAUUGCUUAACGAUAAAAUUGCCUUUGAUACUGAUGGUCUUGAAUGAUUGUGAAGUUGUUAGAAUGUGUAGUGUAGCGGUGAAAUGCAUAGAUAUUACACAGAAUACCGAUUGCGAAGGCAGAUGACUAACAAUUUAUUGACGCUGAUGGACGAAAGCGUGGGGAGCGAACAGG